AUCCAACUGAUGAGUCUCAAAUAGGACGAAACGCGCGUCCUGGAU
rnacentral:hammerhead_ribozyme from 1 species